GCAGCUUUCGCGAGGCCCCACUGGGUGCCCUACCCCCACUCCGGGUCUUCAACGCCCUCUCGGGCCCGCAGUUUUGGGGAUAGAUUCUGACCAGGAGCGGGCCAGUAGGAUGGGAGAGUUUGGACGUGCUUGGGCUCCUCUCAAAGAUUUGGCUUUUCCUGCUGACAGCGCCCCGCCCCCAUCCUAGGAACUCCGGACCUGGGCGGUCUUCGAGGGAAAGGGGGAGGGAGUAGGAGACCGAAGUGGAGAAGAUUUGGCAGUGGCCGCAGGCGGACGCCUGAGAAUCAACUUCUUGGAGGAUCCUGCCUUUCCUCUCUCUCCUAACCCGGCCGGCUCCCCCGAGCCCUUGCCCAUCCUUGAACAUGGAAAUGACCCAGCAUGCCGCAGGUGUCCUGUCCAAGCAGGAGCUCAAAAACAGAUGGUGACAUGGGUCCCUGGGGUGCAUGGAGGUUACAUUACCGAAGUGGCAGAGCGUGGAGUUGAACUGAGGUCUGCUGGCAACGUCUGAGCCUGUAACCACUAUCCUAUAUGGCUCCUUUGAAUGUUGGGUACACUGGCCACGACUGGGCAGGAGCAAAUGGGAGGAAGGGGUUCUGACGCCAGCCCAGAUGCCAGGCAGGCUAAUGGGUGUCUGCGCGAUAGAACGCUGCUGCCAGGUCGGGGCCCUCUGGCCCCCUGCGGGCCGGUCCCGGGGAAAACCUGAGCCAGACUGUGAGGACAAGCCAGUGCAACCACACCUGACUGGUGUUUUCUUUCAGCCAGGGCGGCGGCAGGAGGGAAACUGCCCCGUUGAAAUAACUGGCUCAUUCUGGAAUGGAGAUUCAUUUCCGAUUGCCCCACCUCCCGCGUCUCCCAAGCUGGCUGGUGUGUCUGAGGGAGGAUAUUUUCCUAAGGAUGAACUGUUCUUGAACGUUUCCUGUUGCCGUACGGGUCUCCCGUUAGCAGGCCUGGGACACCUCCCUCUGCUUCCAAAAAUAUAUAAAUGAAAAUAAAGCCCCUCUAUGAAAAGCCCUGAACUUUCAGGAAUGAGCUGGACACUGGGGCAGGCGUAGUAUGCUAUCCAUGUCUCAAUCAUGCUGGGAGCUGAGAAGUAUUUGAUUCAGUCCAGAGCACAUUUCCGUCAGGGUCCGGAGGUGUGCUGGGGAGUAGGUCUGGGGUACGAGGACGUCAGGCUUUUGCUCGAGAUCCCACCAUUAAGCAGUCAGUCUGUGAUGAUGCUGACUAAGGGGUCCAGUGGGCAGCGUUCACCUUAGUGUGAACUUGGAUGGGAAGAAAUUGCAACUGCAUCUUCACCAAUCCCUCACUGAAAUUUAGCUGCUUUUUCAAGAAUGUGGGCUUCCGCCAUAGCCAUGUUAGGCAAUGCUGAUGACUUGCCUACCCCAGAAACCACGGAUAUUUUCAUACAACGUUAGCGUUGGUGCAGACGUCUUGCAGGACGUA